UUGAAAGGGAAACGAUUGAAGUCAGUCGUACUCAUAGGGAAAUCAACUUCUCGAGUGCUUGUCGUGAAAGAAGUUUAGCUUCACGGCCUUCGUUCUUACGUUAUGGUGCUUUUGAGGUGACUUUCCGUAUGGUANGUCAACAUCGAUUUUGAUCGCAUAAAAUGAUCGGAGGAAUGUGGCUCUGAUCUCGUAUCGGAGUGUUAUAGCCUUUGUAGAUUGACGAUUGGGAUCGAGGAUUNAACNAUACCCUUUUGGCUAUCCGUCUGACCUCUGAAAGUCGCUCGGGUGUUGAAAGCGUGCUUAUGACAUUCUAGUUGGCGGUCAAAAGGUUANAACGUGAUUACAUUCGUUAAGGAUGUUGACGUA
rnacentral:rRNA from 1 species